ensembl:lncRNA
AGAGAGAGAGAGAGGUAAUAUAGUAAUAGUGUUGAGAGAGAGAGAGAGAGAGAGGUAAUAUAGUAAUAGUGUUGCAGAGAGAGAGAGAGAGGUAAUAUAGUAAUAGUGUUGCAGAGAGAGAGAGAGAGGUAAUAUAGUAAUAGUGUUGCAGAGAGAGAGAGAGAGAGAGAGAGAGAGAGAGAGGUAAUAUAGUAAUAGUGUUGAGAGAGAGAGAGAGAGAGAGGUAAUAUAGUAAUAGUGUUGCAGAGAGAGAGAGAGAGAGAGAGGUAAUAUAGUAAUAGUGUUGCAGAGAGAGAGAGAGAGAGAGAGGUAAUAUAGUAAUAGUGUUGAGAGAGAGAGAGAGAGAGAGGUAAUAUAGUAAUAGUGUUGCAGAGAGAGAGAGAGAGGUAAUAUAGUAAUAGUGUUGCAGAGAGAGAGAGAGAGAGAGAGAGGUAAUAUAGUAAUAGUGUUGCAGAGAGAGAGAGAGAGGUAAUAUAGUAAUAGUGUUGCAGAGAGAGAGAGAUGUAAUAUAGUAAUAGUGUUGCAGAGAGAGAGAGGUAAUAUAGUAAUAGUGUUGCAGAGAGAGAGAGGUAAUAUAGUAAUAGUGUUGCAGAGAGAGAGAGGUAAUAUAGUAAUAGUGUUGCAGAGAGAGAGAGAGGUAAUAUAGUAAUAGUGUUGCAGAGAGAGAGAGGUAAUAUAGUAAUAGUGUUGCAGAGAGAGAGAGGUAAUAUAGUAAUAGUGUUGCAGAGAGAGAGAGAGGUAAUAUUGUAAUAGUGUUGCAGAGAGAGAGAGAAAGAGGUAAUAUAGUAAUAGUGUUGCAGAGAGAGAGAGGUAAUAUAGUAAUAGUGUUGCAGAGAGAGACAGGUAAUAUAGUAAUAGUGUUGCAGAGAGAGAGAGGUAAUAUAGUAAUAGUGUUGCAGAGAGAGAGAGAGAGAGGUAAUAUAGUAAUAGUGUUGCAGAGAGAGAGAGAGAGAGGUAAUAUAGUAAUAGUGUUGCAGAGAGAGAGAGAGAGAGGUAAUAUAGGAAUAUUGUUGCAGAGAGAGAGAGAGGUAAUAUAGUAAUAGUGUUGCAGAGAGAGAGAGGUAAUAUAGUAAUAGUGUUGCAGAGAGAGAGAGGUAAUAUAGUAAUAGUGUUGCAGAGAGAGAGAGAGGUAAUAUAGUAAUAGUGUUGCAGAGAGAGAGAGAGGUAAUAUAGUAAUAGUGUUGCAGAGAGAGAGAGAGGUAAUAUAGUAAUAGUGUUGCAGAGAGAGAGAGUUAAUAUAGUAAUAGUGUUGCAGAGAGAGAGAGAGGUAAUAUAGUAAUAGUGUUGCAGAGAGAGAGAGAGAGGUAAUAUAGUAAUAGUGUUGAGAGAGAGAGAGAGAGAGAGAGAGAGAGAGGUAAUAUAGUAAUAGUGUUGCAGAGAGAGAGAGAGGUAAUAUAGUAAUAGUGUUGCAGAGAGAGAGAGAGGUAAUAUAGUAAUAGUGUUGCAGAGAGAGAGAGAGGUAAUAUAGUAAUAUUGUUGCAGAGAGAGAGAGAGGUAAUAUAGUAAUAGUGUUGCAGAGAGAGAGAGAGGUAAUAUAGUAAUAGUGUUGCAGAGAGAGAGAGAGGUAAUAUAGUAAUAGUGUUGCAGAGAGAGAGAGAGGUAAUAUAGUAAUAGUGUUGCAGAGAGUGAGAGAGGUAAUAUAGUAAUAGUGUUGCAGAGAGAGAGAGAGGUAAUAUAGUAAUAGUGUUGCAGAGAGAGAGAGAGGUAAUAUAGUAAUAGUGUUGAGAGAGAGAGAGAGAGAGGUAAUAUAGUAAUAGUGUUGCAGAGAGAGAGAGAGGUAAUAUAGUAAUAGUGUUGAGAGAGAGAGAGAGAGAGGUAAUAUAGUAAUAGUGUUGCAGAGAGAGAGAGAGGUAAUAUAGUAAUAGUGUUGCAGAGUGAGAGAGGUAAUAUAGUAAUAGUGUUGCAGAGAAAGAGAGGUAAUAUAGUAAUAGUGUUGCAGAGAGAGAGAGAGGUAAUAUAGUAAUAGUGUUGCAGAGAAAGAGAGGUAAUAUAGUAAUAGUGUUGCAGAGAGAGAGAGAGGUAAUAUAGUAAUAGUGUUGCAGAGAGAGAGGUUAUAUAGUAAUAGUGUUGCAGAGAGAGAGAGAGGUAAUAUAGAAAUAGUGUUGCAGAGAGAGAGAGGUAAUAUAGUAAUAGUGUUGCAGAGAGAGAGAGAGAGAGAGAGAGGUAAUAUAGUAAUAGUGUUGAGAGAGAGAGAGAGAGAGAGGUAAUAUAGUAAUAGUGUUGCAGAGAGAGAGAGAGAGAGAGGUAAUAUAGUAAUA